GGAAGGGGUGUAUUUAUUAGAUAAAAAACCAACGCCCUUCGGGGCUCCUUGGUGAAUCAUAAUAACUUAACGAAUCGCAUGGCCUUGCGCCGGCGAUGGUUCAUUCAAAUUUCUGCCCUAUCAACUUUCGAUGGUAGGAUAGUGGCCUACCAUGGUGGCAACGGGUAACGGGGAAUUAGGGUUCGAUUCCGGAGAGGGAGCCUGAGAAACGGCUACCACAUCCAAGGAAGGCAGCAGGCGCGCAAAUUACCCAAUCCCGAUACGGGGAGGUAGUGACAAUAAAUACUGAUACGGGGCUCUUUUGGGUCUCGUAAUUGGAAUGAGAACAAUUUAAAUCCCUUAACGAGGAACAAUUGGAGGGCAAGUCUGGUGCCAGCAGCCGCGGUAAUUCCAGCUCCAAUAGCGUAUAUUAAAGUUGUUGCAGUUAAAAAGCUCGUAGUUGAACCUUGGGUCUGGCUGGCCGGUCCGCCUCACCGCGAGUACUGGUCCGGCUGGACCUUUCCUUGGGGGGAACCUCAUGGCCUUCACUGGCUGUGGGGGGAACCAGGACUUUUAC
rnacentral:rRNA from 1 species